AGCGAACGCUGGCGGCAGGCCUAACACAUGCAAGUCGAACGAACUCUUCGGAGUUAGUGGCGGACGGGUGAGUAACACGGGGGAACGUGCCGUUUGGCUCGGAAUAACUCAGGGAAACGUGUGCUAAUACCGAAUGUGCCCCUCGGGUGCAAGAUUCAUCGCCAUUAGAGCGGCCGGCGUCUGCUUAGCUAGUUGGUGAGGUAACGGCCCACCAAGGCGACGAUCAUUAGCGGGUCUGAGAGGAUGGCCAGCCACACUGGGACUGAGACACGGCCCAGACUCCUGCGGGAGGCAGCAGUGGGGAAUCUUGCCCAAUGGGCGAAAGCCUGACGCAGCCAUGCCGCGUGAAUGAAGAAGGUCUUAGGAUUGUAAAAUUCUUUCACCGGGGACGAUACUGACGGUACCCGGAGAAGAAGCCCCGGCUAACUUCGUG
rnacentral:rRNA from 1 species